GUGGGGAAUUUUGGACAAUGGGCGCAAGCCUGAUCCAGCAAUGCCGCGUGCAGGAAGAAGGCCUUCGGGUUGUAAACUGCUUUUGUACGGAACGAAACGGUCCUGGUUAAUACCUGGGGCUAAUGACGGUACCGUAAGAAUAAGCACCGGCUAACUACGUGCCAGCAGCCGCGGUAAUACGUAGGGUGCGAGCGUUAAUCGGAAUUACUGGGCGUAAAGCGUGCGCAGGCGGUGCAGUAAGACAGGCGUGAAAUCCGCGGGCUCAACCUGGGAAUUGCGCUUGUGACUGCAGUGCUGGAGUACGGCAGAGGGGGGUGGAAUUCCGCGUGUAGCAGUGAAAGGCGUAGAUAUGCGGAGGAACACCGAUGGCGAAGGCAGUCCCCUGGGCCUGUACUGACGCUCAUGCACGAAAGCGUGGGGAGCAAACAGGAUUAGAAACCCGAGUAGUCC
rnacentral:rRNA from 1 species